UAAUCGUGGUGGGGGCAAAGGGCCUGCAAUUCUUUGUAUCUUUUCCAUGCUUGAUAUAACGUUUACUUGUCCUUUUGGACAAAAGAAGAAAUUCAUUUUUUAAAGCA
rnacentral:snoRNA from 1 species